GUGGAUGCUAAUAUAAUUAUCGUUAUAGUUAUCGUGCGUUGGUGUGGAUGCUAAUAUAGUUAUCGUCAUUGGUGUGGAUGCUAAUAUAGUUAUCGUUGUUGGUGUGGACGCUAAUAUAGUUAUCCUUAUAGUUAUCGUUGUAGGUGUGAAUGC